rnacentral:rRNA from 1 species
GAUGAACGCUAGCGGCAGGCUUAAUACAUGCAAGUCGAACGGGAUUGAGAAGCUUGCUUUUCAUGAGAGUGGCGCACGGGUGCGUAACACGUAUGCAACCUGCCUUGUCCAGGGGGAUAGCCCGUUGAAAGACGGAUUAAGACCGCAUAACAUCAUUGAAUGGCAUCGUUUAAUGAUCAAAUAUUUAUAGGGACAAGAUGGGCAUGCGUCUGAUUAGCUAGUUGGCGGGGUAAUGGCCCAACAAGGCGACGAUCAGUAGGGGAUCUGAGAGGAUGACCCCCCAAACUGGUACUGAGACACGGACCAGACUCCUACGGGAGGCAGCAGUAAGGAAUAUUGGUCAAUGGGCGCAAGCCUGAACCAGCCAUGCCGCGUGCAGGAAGACGGCCCUACGGGUUGUAAACUGCUUUUAUACGGGAAUAACCCCGGUUUCGUGAAACCGGCUGAAUGUACCGUAAGAAUAAGGAUCGGCUAACUCCGUGCCAGCCGCCGCCGUAA